ensembl:lncRNA
GGUAUAAAAGAUUUUCACAAAUGCUGGUCGGGGUCCUUGGCCAAGAGGAGACUCUGCCUUGGGCCCGCUGGUGUAAUAAACUACACUCCACUAUCUGCAUUGUCCUUCUGAGUGAAUUUGUUUCCUGGAAGGCGUGGCUACAACAACUCCACUGGGGCACUGCCUCCAGAUGUCCACCAUGAUUGCAUCCAUCACACAGUAUUCCAAGGAUUUGGGCCCAGCUCUCCCAGCAUCCCUUCAAGUGGAGGCUCCAGACGCGCCAGCUCAGGAAGAGUCGUGCCCACAGGUUCUGGGAUCACAACAGCAUGGAGGUUGUUUUAUGCCACUAAGUCUGUGAUGAAACAAACUGAAUGUGUGCCUGUCGCAACAAAUAUUGGUUACACAAGUUGAAUGGAUGGCCUUACAAAGUAGGAGGAAUUUCAUCCCUCGCCCAAUCUCCACAUCCAGCAUCACUGCCGUCUUCUCAGCCAAACAGGAAUGCCUCUUCCCCUCUCACUGAAGUUUGUCUGUAUCUGUGCUUCCCUCCUCCCGGGCCUUCAGCCUGGGAUGUCCUUCACUGACCCCUUGAUGAACUUGCACCCCGUUAGCCUUUUAA